GUAGGUGGCAAGCGUUGUCCGGGAAUUAUUGGGGCGUAAAGCGCGCGCAGGCGGUUCUUUAAGUCUGAUGUGAAAGCCCACGGGCUCAACCGUGGAGGGUCAUUGGAAACUGGAGAACUUGAGUACAGAAGAGGAAAGCGGAAUUCCACGUGUAGCGGUGAAAUGCGUAGAGAUGUGGAGGAACACCAGUGGCGGAGGCGGCUUUCUGGUCUGUAACUGACGCUGAGGCGCGAAAGCGUGGGGAGCAAACAGGAUUAGAUACCCUGGUAGUCCACGCCGUAAACGAUGAGUGCUAAGUGUUAGGGGGUUUCCGCCCCUUAGUGCUGCAGCUAACGCAUUAAGCACUCCGCCUGGGGAGUACGGCCGCAAAGGCUGA
rnacentral:rRNA from 1 species